CCAAAGGUUCCUCCCGGACUUUAUGAAGGGGAUAGGGAGAGGGUGGGUGUUCUCUGCUUGUAACCACCUGGCUCCUUCUCUCUCCUAGAUGGCGCCUGUGAUGACUACACAGACGGCCGCGUGUGCAAAAUUCGCUUUGAUGCUAAUGGAGCCACAGGGUCAGGGAGUCGGGACCCCACCCAGGUGAAACUGCUGCCGGGUCGGCACAUGCUCUUCCCACCCCUUGAGAGAGUACACUAUUUACAGGUACGGGACAGAAGGACUCACCUCCAUUCUGGUCCCCUGCACCACUACUCUGUGGCUUUGGACUGCAGGGUACCCUAGGGGUCAGGUGAAGGAAAGACAAGAGGAAGAAAGGUUCCCUCAGAUCUCUCGGAACCAGGCUUGCCCACUAGAGUAAAUGCUUUGGAGAAAAGGAAGAGUGUGAAGCCAUCUUGCUGAGGCCCCGCUUUGGUUCCUGUCACCUCUACCUUUGUCUCUGCAGCACCUCCCUCCAGGUCUCACCUGCUCCUCUCCCCAGGUUCCUUUGUCCCGCCGGUUAUCCCAUGAUGAGACCAACGUCUUUUCUACUCCUCGGGCACCAGGCUCCUUCCUGCACAAGUGGUCAUCGUCUGAUGAUAUCCGGAUCCUCCCAGCCCAGAGCAGAGCCCUUGGAGGUCCUCCAGAAUACCCGGGACAGAGACUCAGGAUAGAGGAUGAGGAGGACGAGGAAGAGGCUGAAGGACCCUCUCCUCGUAGGCCUAGGCCGCUGGGCUUUUCACCUCGACGACUCUCCCUUGGGUCUCCUGAGAGCCGAGCUGUUGGACUUCCUUUGGGGUUAAGUGCAGGAAGACGCUGUUCCCUUACAGGGAGUGAAGGGAGUUCAAGGGCUUGGGGAAGACCCUGGGGGCCAGGCAACCCCAUCUUCCCCCAGUUGACCCUGUAAGGCCAUGGGUGAGUGAGUUUGCCUCAUUCUGGCCCUGAGUCUAUGGCAGCUGCCUCCAGGGAGAUGGGGGGCUACAUCUGGGCUCUAGAGCCCCAGCUCUCUCCCAUCCAAGUGACCAGAUACCCAACUCACCCGUCUUCACCCUUAGCAAAAUGUAUUAAAAGGCUGAAGUGUUGCCGUGGAAACCUUGGUGUUCAGCGACUGCGGUGGCAAAUGGGUCAGUGGCUUGGGCGAGGGAGAAUGGCUCACAGAGGACAAAAUGGAGAAAGGGCAGGAGGAAGAGAUACAGAAAGAGACAGCCCAACAUGCAGGCAGGAGAAAUGGGCUUAGGAGAGACUGAUCCUGAGGUGGAGCAUGGGGCACUUGAGUGUGUUAGUUUGAAGUGGGAAGGAUCCUUGUUCAAAUUAGUAAAGGCGCUCAAUCCUCAUCUCCCCUAAA
rnacentral:lncRNA from 1 species